rnacentral:rRNA from 1 species
AUUGAACGCUGGCGGCAGGCUUAACACAUGCAAGUCGAGCGGUAACAGGAGAAGCUUGCUUCUCGCUGACGAGCGGCGGACGGGUGAGUAAUACUUAGGAAUCUACCUAGUAGUGGGGGAUAGCUCGGGGAAACUCGAAUUAAUACCGCAUACGACCUACGGGAGAAAGGGGGCAACUUGUUGCUCUCGCUAUUAGAUGAGCCUAAGUCGGAUUAGCUAGAUGGUGGGGUAAAGGCCUACCAUGGCGACGAUCUGUAGCUGGUCUGAGAGGAUGAUACGCCACACCGGGACUGAGACACGGCCCGGACUCCUACGGGAGGCAGCAGUGGGGAAUAUUGGACAAUGGGGGCAACCCUGAUCCAGCCAUGCCGCGUGUGUGAAGAAGGCCUUUUGGUUGUAAAGCACUUUAAGCAGUGAAGAAGACUCUAGGGUUAAUACCCUUAGACGAUGACAUUAGCUGCAGAAUAAGCACCGGCUAACUCUGUGCCAGCCGCCGCAGUAA